UACGUAGGGGGCAAGCGUUAUCCGGAUUUACUGGGUGUAAAGGGAGCGCAGACGGCAUGCCAAGUCAGAAGUGAAAGCCCCGGGCUUAACCCGGGGACUGCUUUUGAAACUGGGGUGCUAGAGUACUGGAGGGGCAGGCGGAAUUCCUGGUGUAGCGGUGAAAUGCGUAGAUAUCAGGAGGAACACCGGUGGCGAAGGCGGCCUGCUGGACAGAGACUGACGUUGAGGCUCGAAAGCGUGGGGAGCAAAC
rnacentral:rRNA from 1 species